AGGACGAACGCUGGCGGCGUGCUUAACACAUGCAAGUGGAGCGACGAACCAGGGCUUGCCCUGGGGCAGAGCCGCGAACGGGUGAGUAACACGUGGGUUACCUGCCUCGAUGACCGGGACAACCCGAGGAAACUCGGGCUAAUACCGGAUGUGCCCGCAAGGGGAAAGGAAGCUUCGGCCUCCGCAUCGAGAUGGGCCCGCGGCCCAUUAGCUUGUUGGUGAGGUAACGGCUCACCAAGGCUUCGAUGGCUAGCUGGUCUGAGAGGACGAUCAGCCACACUGGGACUGAGACACGGCCCAGACUCCUACGGGAGGCAGCAGUUAGGAAUUUUCCGCAAUGGGCGAAAGCCUGACGGAGCAACGCCGCGUGAGUGAUGAAGACCCUUGGGUCGUAAAGCUCUGUCGGAGGGGAAGAAAUAAUGACGGUACCCUCCAAGAAGCCCGGCUAACUACGUGCCAGCAGCCGC
rnacentral:rRNA from 1 species